CCCAUCACCUGGUGAAUCAAGAGGCGAAUUGUGGUAUAACCACAGCGGUGUACUCCUCAGUGAUACAUGCAACAGCGGGAUGAAUCUUAACAUCACCCUAAAUGAAAGAUGCAGGACACUGAAGACUAUACACUAUAUAAUGCCAAUUAUAUAAAAUGUUUUAAAAAUAAGCCAUAACUAUAGUGACAGAAAACAGAUUAAGGGUUGCCAAGAGCCAGGGUGGGGAGACAGGAUUGAUAGCAAAGGGGCACAAGAGAGCUUUUUGAGAUGAUGCAAACAUCUGGUAUCUUGAUGUUGGUAGUGAUUACAUGCUGUAUAUGUUUACCAAAAGUUUUUGAACUGUAUACUCAAAAUGCUUAAGUGUUAUUGUAUAUAAUUAAACCUCAGUAAAGCUGUUAAAAAACGUGAAUACAUUAUCUAGUUAAGGCCACAGGAAACAUCCAAGAGGCCUUAGCUUGACUCAGCUCGAGGUCUGGAAUUAGGGAAGGGGAUGAGAAUCGCUCAGCUUCAUAGAGGGCAGCUAGCAAGUAACCCUCAUGGUAGGGGGCCACCUGAAUAGGAGAGAAACCAAGAAUGGGAACCUAUGGAUCAGAGGCUCAAUCAAUAAGGCAAAGGAAAAAUGAACGAAUGAAUGACUGGAGAGACAGGAAAAGAGAACAAGAUAGACAUAGGCAGAGAAGAGAGAAACUGGGUGGGAAAGAAGACAGGCAGAACAAGACAGAAAGGAAGGCCCCACCCAGUAAGUGAAGAUAACCAGACAGAUGGCCAGCUUCUGAGGAGGCAAGUCUGCUCCUGUCACUGGGAUCGAAGAAGGAGGCCCAGCCUUUCUGAAUGAAUGGGCCUGGCCCUGGUUCCUUUCCCUGGGGUCAAUUGUGACCUCAGGUGCCUGUGCCACAAGGAGUUUGUGAGGCUGGAUGGGAGGUUCUCCACCAACUGAUGCUCCCUGGCACAGGGUUCCGAGUCCUGAGCCAGAUCGGGGAAAUGACUCACUUAAAAGAAGUCUUUAUCAACCACAGCAGAAUCCACAGUUAUAUGGCUUCUGGGAAUUUCCAGGUUUUCAGGUGCUAAGUGAGGGAGGAAGAGGGUAUGAAGCCUCCUGGCACAGAGUUGCUGGCAAUGCUCUGCCCUGCUGGCCCUGCUGCCUUCACCAUCAGCCACUCAGGUAUAGAAAAUGCAGCUACCUCUUAGGAGUCCAGAGAGGAGGUCUAACUUAGGACUCAGGCCAGUGGCUCUACCAUCUACCAGAACCUGUGAUCUUGGACAAGUGAUUGAAUUCUGUGGAUCCUCCAUUUCUUCAAAAUCGAUAAAAUGGGGCAAUAAUGGUAUUUCUCUCUUAGAGUUGUUAUGAGGGUUAAAUAAAGUAAUCCAUAUAAACUA
rnacentral:lncRNA from 1 species